UACGUAGGGGGCUAGCGUUGUCCGGAUUUAUUGGGCGUAAAGAGCGUGUAGGCGGCCAGGUAGGUCUGGUGUGAAAACUCGAGGCUUAACCUCGAGAUGUCAUCGGAAACCAUCUGGCUAGAGUCCGGAAGAGGAGAGUGGAAUUCCUGGAGUGUAGCGGUGAAAUGCGCAGAUAUCAGGAACGAACCAGCCCAGUAGGCG
rnacentral:rRNA from 1 species